CACCAGAUGAAACUAGAUACAAGCGAGCGGCGGACGGGUGAGUAACACGUGGGUAACCUGCCCAAGAGACUGGGAUAACACCUGGAAACAGAUGCUAAUACCGGAUAACAACACUAGACGCAUGUCUAGAGUUUAAAAGAUGGUUCUGCUAUCACUCUUGGAUGGACCUGCGGUGCAUUAGCUAGUUGGUAAGGUAACGGCUUACCAAGGCAAUGAUGCAUAGCCGAGUUGAGAGACUGAUCGGCCACAUUGGGACUGAGACACGGCCCAAACUCCUACGGGAGGCAGCAGUAGGGAAUCUUCCACAAUGGACGCAAGUCUGAUGGAGCAACGCCGCGUGAGUGAAGAAGGGUUUCGGCUCGUAAAGCUCUGUUGGUAGUGAAGAAAGAUAGAGGUAGUAACUGGCCUUUAUUUGACGGUAAUUACUUAGAAAGUCACGGCUAACUACGUGCCAGCAGCCGCGGUAAUACGUAGGUGGCAAGCGUUGUCCGGAUUUAUUGGGCGUAAAGCGAGUGCAGGCGGUUCAAUAAGUCUGAUGUGAAAGCCUUCGGCUCAACCGGAGAAUUGCAUCAGAAACUGUUGAACUUGAGUGCAGAAGAGGAGAGUGGAACUCCAUGUGUAGCGGUGGAAUGCGUAGAUAUAUGGAAGAACACCAGUGGCGAAGGCGGCUCUCUGGUCUGCAACUGACGCUGAGGCU
rnacentral:rRNA from 1 species